rnacentral:misc_RNA from 1 species
AAAGGUUUUGAAAUCCCUGAUGCUUUACCAUGGCAUCUUGUAGAUGAGGUCUACAUUCCGAUUAACUGCGAUCAAGAAUUCCAUUGGGUGCUGGCAGUUGUUGAGUUGAAAAAGAGGGUGAUAAGAGUUUUUGACUCAUCAAUAUGCACAAGGAAAAAAGUCAUUUCUCAUGAGAUAAAAAUGUUGUCUAAAAUGCUUCCUUUUUACUUACUGGACAGUGGAUUCUUUGAAGAAACUGAGCACACAAAAUUUGGUGAUUGUCAUGCAUACAAA